rnacentral:rRNA from 1 species
UACGUAGGGUGCAAGCGUUGUCCGGAAUUAUUGGGCGUAAAGAGCUCGUAGGCGGUUUGUUGCGUCGGCUGUGAAAUCCCGAGGCUCAACCUCGGGUCUGCAGUCGAUACGAGCAAACUAGAGUGUUGCAGGGGAGACUGGAAUUCCUGGUGUAGCGGUGAAAUGCGCAGAUAUCAGGAGGAACACCUGCGGCGAAGGCGGGUUGCUGGGCCGACACUGACGCUGAAGCGCGAAAGCCAGGGGAGCGAACGGG